rnacentral:rRNA from 7 species
UGACCUCGGAUCAGGUAGGGAUACCCGCUGAACUUAAGCAUAUCAAUAAGCGGAGGAAAAGAAACCAACCGGGAUUGCCUCAGUAACGGCGAGUGAAGCGGCAAGAGCUCAAAUUUGAAAGCUGGCUCCUUCGGGGUCCGCAUUGUAAUUUGCAGAGGAUGCUUCGGGUGCGGCCCCUGUCUAAGUGCCCUGGAACGGGCCGUCAGAGAGGGUGAGAAUCCCGUCUGGGAUGGGGUGUCCGCGCCCGUGUGAAGCUCCUUCGACGAGUCGAGUUGUUUGGGAAUGCAGCUCUAAAUGGGUGGUAAAUUUCAUCUAAAGCUAAAUACUGGCCGGAGACCGAUAGCGCACAAGUAGAGUGAUCGAAAGAUGAAAAGCACUUUGAAAAGAGAGUUAAAAAGCACGUGAAAUUGUUGAAAGGGAAGCGCUUGCGACCAGACUCGCCUCCAGGGUUCAGCCGGCAUUCGUGCCGGUGUACUUCCCUGGGGGCGGGCCAGCGUCGGUUUGGGCGGCCGGUCAAAGGCUCCCGGAAUGUAGUGCCCUCCGGGGCACCUUAUAGCCGGGAGUGCAAUGCGGCCAGCCUGGACCGAGGAACGCGC